ACAGCCUGAUCCAGCGAUGCCGCGUGAGUGAAGAAGGCCUUCGGGUUGUAAAGCUCUUUUGUCAGGGAAGAAACGGCUGAGGUUAAUACCUUCGGCUAAUGACGGUACCUGAAGAAUAAGCACCGGCUAACUACGUGCCAGCAGCCGCGGUAAUACGUAGGGUGCAAGCGUUAAUCGGAAUUACUGGGCGUAAAGCGUGCGCAGGCGGUUUUGUAAGUCUGUCGUGAAAGCCCCGGGCUCAACCUGGGAAUUGCGAUGGAGACUGCAAGGCUUGAAUCUGGCAAAGGGGGGUAGAAUUCCACGUGUAGCAGUGAAAUGCGUAAAGAUGUGGAGGAACACCGAUGGCGAAGGCAGCCCCCUGGGUCAAGAUUGACGCUCAUGCACGAAAGCGUGGGGAGCAAACAGGAUUAAAUACCCUGGUAGUCCACGCCCUAAACGAUGUCUACUAGUUGUCGGGUUUUAAUUAACUUGGUAACGCAGCUAACGCGUGAAGUAGACCGCCUGGGGAGUACGGUCGCAAGAUUAAAACUCAAAUGAAUUGACGGA
rnacentral:rRNA from 1 species